rnacentral:lncRNA from 1 species
AUUUGAUUAGGGUUUGAUUUAGGAUUUAGUAUUUGAUUAGGAUUUGAUUUAGGAUUUAGUUAGGAUUUGGUUUAGGAUUUAGGAUUUAGUAUUUUAUUAGGAUUUGUUUAGGAUUUAAGAUUUUGUUAGUUUUUGGCCUAAAAUUUGAAUGAAGUCCAAUAGGAUUCUAACUAGGAUUAAAUUAAGAUUGAAUUGAGAUGUAUUUGAGAUAUAUUUGUGAUCAUUCUAAUAUUUUUUUAAGAUUUAUUAUUGUUUCUUUGUAAUUCUUUUGAGGUUUCUUUGAAUUUGAUUAAAACUUGCUUAAUAUUGUUAUGGUUUAAUUAGAAUUAAUUAGUAUUCUAUUAGAGUUAAGAUUUUUUUGUUGCAAUUUCCGUUCUACCUUCCACAAUUAGGUGCUUGGAGCAUUCUCAAGCAAGACUUCAUGUAUUAUGACAUGACAACACUAACUUUAAGGCAACUUUGAUUUUUCAUUAAAAUGUGGUUUUUUAGUGUCUUGCCAACUAUUGAAUUCUUUUUGAAUAGUUGAG